rnacentral:tRNA from 1 species
AGCCUUGAGGUGUUUACAUAUCGGAUUGCAAAUCCGAAGUAGCAGGGUAAAACCUGCCGGGGCUUU